CCAUGCCGUAAACGUUGGGCGCUAGGUGUGGGACUCAUUCCACGAGUUCCGUGCCGCAGCUAACGCAUUAAGCGCCCCGCCUGGGGAGUACGGCCGCAAGGCUAAAACUCAAAGGAAUUGACGGGGGCCCGCACAAGCGGCGGAGCAUGUGGAUUAAUUCGAUGCAACGCGAAGAACCUUACCUGGGCUUGACAUAUACAGGACGACGGCAGAGAUGUCGUUUCCCUUGUGGCUUGUAUACAGGUGGUGCAUGGUUGU
rnacentral:rRNA from 1 species